GCCAACACAGCCAUCUAAACACUGACAGUAAAGGUAACCACAGACUUCCUCUUCUAUUGCUUAGCUUCUAGCACAAAGCUCACAUUUUCAGCAAGGUUGGUGUUACCCAGACAGACAACUCUUUUUCUCUACAAAUGCUUUUUCAUUUGUCGUCAACUGAGUAAACAAGUGUAUCAUGUUUGUAUAGAAUGAGGGUGCGUUCUGUUCUGUUGGUUACCAAGACAAACGCAGUACAGAAGAAUCCCUCAAAGCAUCCCCUGUUUGGAUGAAAGCCCAGGAACACAAGAACUCAUCUUCAAGAGCACUAUCAGACCGUAGACUCUACGCUACUUAAAAGGAUGAACAGAGAAAUCGUCUAGACCAGCUGCAGCUGCUACCACUGUCCUCUCCAGCUGGUUAACACAUAAGGAUUUUAAUCAUGGGCCUCAGGACAGAAUCACAGAAAAUACAUCUGACAUGUGAGAAUGGAUGCCACAGGUGAAGAGAAUGAAAAAGGAAGAAAUAUCAUCAUAGGAAUGCCAAGGUGGUUGUUUUCAUCAAGGAGAUUAACUUGAGCCAUGUUGAAAGCAGUCUGGAAGACAUUAAUGUGCAAUGUUACCAACCAGUAUUUGGUGAGAAAGAGUUAUUCUCUCCUUGUGGUUUUCUAUGUGGUACAGAAUUAUGAUUGUUCUCGAGGAAGGAAUAUUUGUUAACUGGAGGACAGUAUGAAACAUGAUCUUCAGCCUUCUCACCUAUGGAAGAGAAAAAUGGUGAUAACCCAGAGCUAUGCCCUUACUUCCUACCUCCUGACAAGGCCCUAGCCCAAAGUGCUAGGACACACAGAAUUCUGGACACGACAUGAGAAAUUGCUGGCUGUGACCAUAGAUAGCCCCUCUAAGGAUAGCUGGACUUCCCAGUAGGGAACAAUUAGAGAUUCUACUCUCACCGUGCCAGAGUUUGUCCCGAGCACCUUCACAAUUACUUCCUAAAGUGAAGAAGAACUCCUUUUACCUGCUUUAAAAACAUCAGUCUCAACAGGUGCUCCAUGUCCCUGGUACUGCAGGAUUCACAGGUCAGUGAUGUUUGAGUUUUACUCUGUUGCACAUGGGAGCAGUACUCUAAAGCAAGUGGCUGGAAGAAGGGAUAAAAACAUAUGUGCUUUUCCUUCGAUGGUUUUAUGAAGAAACACAUCAUUCUUGUAGGGAAAAGCUAUUUCAGGGGGAAUUUGUGAUAGUAAGGGCUGCUCAUGCCAGCCCCAGCUCAGGAGAGUCCAUAAGGCACAACCUUCUCCUCAGCAUUUUUGUUAGCACAAAUAUUGUAAGUGCUGAGGGCAUGAGAUGACACACCAAAUCCUUGACUCGAAACAGGGACGUGGACAGCCCUCAUACUGAGUGCCUUCUGCUCAGGAUGUUGGAUUUAUACUCAACAUUAUUUGAAUUUAAUUAAUUACACUAAAACCAUUUCAGCACGCAGUCAUUGAUUCAUCUUUUGUAAUAAAAAAAUAGUAAGGCUGUGUGUGUUGAUAAAUAGAGAGCUGGAAGAAGGCAGCUCUACUGCAAGGGCAUUGAAAUGAUGCCUGAGUAAAGCAGACAUAGACCAGAAAGAUAGUAAUUAUUUCUCCUUAGAGCUGAGUCCACGAGUUUCUGAUUAUUUGUUUACCAUUUGAAACAAUUAUAAAAUCAAUAAAGAAUGACAACUGUUAAUUUGUGUUUUCUCACAAGUCUGAAGAUAAAAGAAGAUGAAUAGAAGUGUAGGUAGUCAAAAAAAAAAAACAUCACUGAUCAAAACCUGUAGAAAAAUACCAUUUAUUUUAAGCACUUCAUAAAGGCUACAGCUAAAAAGGGUGCUAGAUUACUGAAAUCAUAUAGCUUCUAUGUGAGUAAAAUGCUGUAUUAUGUCUUCUGGGUCACUGCAGAUGUGGCCUGUAAUGUUUAAGUGAAAGCACCUGAAAGUUUUAUUUCACUCUGCUUCAACAGCAUGCAGAAACUAGGCAUUCAUCUGCCUGAGCACACUGAAAACUUAAUUUCAGAGCACACCUAUGCACCAAAAUAGUGUCAGCAUCUGUACAAAGCAUAAUGAUGGUUCCUGCUGCUUUCUUUAACAUAAGCAUGUGUCAGCACUGACCAGCACUGAUCGUAUUGCUUCCUUUCAUGCCAUAGACCAACAUCUAAAGCUUUUUAGCAGGAUGCAGAAGAUUCGGUUCAAUUCUCUUAUAUCAUAGAGGAAUGUACAAGGGAUCAAAGGGAAGACAUUGAACUGUUUCCCUUAUUGGAGGCACAUUUUGGGACCAAAAAUAAUCCCGAACUGAGCCAGAAAGGAGAGCACGAGUUGCAACAUGCCACUACAAUGCUAGUGGUUGCCUAAGGUUUUCUAUGGUUUUUGUCUCUACCAUGAAGAUUUUUUCUUGAAUUAACACAGAAAUCAGCUUCAGAUUAAAAAGAAAAAAAAAAAAAGGAAA
ensembl:lncRNA